CUUGUACCCCCUCCAUCCGAAAAUACUUGUCAUUGAAAUGGAUGUAUCUAGAUGUAUUUUAGUUCUAGACACAUCCAUUUUGAUGACAAGUAAUUCCGGACAGAGGGAGUACUUG
rnacentral:pre_miRNA from 1 species